rnacentral:rRNA from 1 species
CCCGCACAAGCAGCGGAGCGUGUGGUUUAAUUCGAUGCAACACGAAGAACCUUACCAGGGCUUGACAUGUUAGAAGUAGGAACCCGAAAGGGGACGACCAGUAUCCAAUCUGGAGCUAACACAGGUGCUGCAUGGCUGUCGUCAGCUCGUGCCGUGAGGUGUAUGGUUAAGUCCCACAACGAGCGCAACCCUCGUCGCUAGUUAAUUUCCCUAGCGAGACCGCCUCGCAAAACGAGGAGGAAGGCGGGGAUGGCGUCAAGUCAGCAUGGCCUUUAUACCCUGGGCGACACACACGCUACAAUGGGUGGUACAGUAGGUAGCGAAGGAGCGAUCCGGAGCAAAUCCUUAAAACCAUCCUCAGUACGGAUUGCAGGCUGAAACCCGCCUGCAUGAAGCCGGAGUUGCUAGUAACCGCAUAUCAGCAUGGUGCGGUGAAUACGUUCCCGGGCCUU